GUGGCCCAAGAAACCGUCCUCACCGACACAAAGGGAAAGGUAGGAACUACGAACUAAAUGUCCAAGAAACCGUUACGGUGUGUGGCUGAUGAUUACAUUCACAGUUUUGUUACGUACAACCGCGGUGGAGAACUGCCGGAUAAUCGGCUUAUAUUAAAAAUAAAUAAAUAAAACCAAAAUCAACAGGGGCUCUCAUUUGCAGCAUUCACAAAAAGUCAGGAGAAGUCUUAUGAUCUAGGUCAUAGACGUUAGUGAAGUUUAACCUAAAAAACCACAAUUUA